CAUCGAAACACCGGUUACCAUAAGAUCACCGAAGUUAAGCAAUGUUGCGCCUGGUCAGUACCUGGAUGGGUGACUGCUUGCUAAUAACCAAGUGCUGUAU